UGUCCAAGGACUGAAUUGUUUUAACAUAAGGUUUUCCAGUUCUGGGAGCCUCAGUUCUUUAAAACUCUUUUAAAAUUUGUAUGUUUAGAUUUAAGCAAGACCUUUUUACUCCCCAUCAGUUGUGAGAUUUAAUGCAUGAAGCUGAUGUGGCUAACAAGUUUAUUUUAAGAAUUGUUUAGAAAUGCUGUUGCUUCAGGUUCUUAAAUCACUCAACGCUCCAACUUCUAAUCAAAUUUUUAAAGACUUACCAAUGUUUGCCUGUGUUUGCACUAUAAAAAGCACUGGAUCCUUCCCAUCUAUUUGUGCAAAGAAUGAUCACUUGCAAGGUCAAAAAUAUAGCCAGAUCCAAAUCUCUGCCUCCCCCUUCCCAAAAUAGUUCUCAGUAUCUCCAUGUAGACUUCCUUUUCUGUAUAAAGUUCACUCUAAGAUUUCAAAGGCACCGCCUGUUUUACUACAUUUUAGUCAUGUGAAGAGUCAAGUUGUUUUGUAAUAAAUAAUUGUCUUUAUUCAUAAUAAUCUGGUGUGCUAAUCAAAAGCCUUGUCUUAAUUUUUGAGAAAUGAGUUUAGUGUUUAUAAAGUAAAUUCCAGUUUG
rnacentral:lncRNA from 1 species